UCCUUCUUCCCCCUCCAUCUCUUCCUUUCCUCCCCAGGUAAUCUUCCUGUAGGUAGCAGAGAGGGCAGAGCGAAGGGAGAGCUGCCGGCUUCUUCCACGGGAGUCGUCGGGCGGCUAGGCCGCCAUGUCCAGGGGCUCGGGGCGGCUCCCCGCGUCCCAUUCCCGGCGCUAGGACCCCGAGGAGCGGCCCCCCCGGUCGAGCUCGUCCCCGUCUUCGCGGCGAACCGGGCGAACUGCGCGGCUCCUCUUCUUCGCCUCCGGCGUCCUCCGUCCCGUCCGGCGCCCCCUCUUCUCCCCAAGGUGAGACCCGCCGCCCAGUGCCUCCUCCUCCUCGGUCCGGUCCCGAUCCGCGGCGAGGUCGUCGUCUUCUCUGCCGGCGUUCGUCAGGGGGCUGUUGUUGGAGAGUACGUGCAGAGUGCGAGGGUUAGUUUGUUGCUGUUAGAGGUAGGAGUGGUACCAGGGGCUUCCUCCUCCCCUCGUUGGUAGCGCGUGGCCAGAGGGACCCCCCUCGUCGCCGCCAGCGCCGCUUAGCAUCGCCGGCCGUGCAGCGUAGCGACGCAGGCAGGACGUGCCCGUCAGGUUCUAUGCCGCGUGCUCCCAGGCGAGCAGGGUUCCGACAGUCGCGGCUCCGGCAAGCCAAGCGGGGUCCUUUACCCGCGCUCAGGGCGAAAAUGGGUUCCCCGAGAGUCCCGCGGGCCCCGCCGUUGGUUUUCCCCGCCGGUGGUGGCCGGGAGUGGCGCCGCCAGCGUCCUCGGGUCCGGCCGCCGGCGGGAUGCUUCCCGUGAGGCGUGUGUAGUUCUUCUUUUCUUGCUAGUCUUAGCCAGACUCCAGUUCGUAGCCUGAUGGUAGCACCUCUCUGUCAUAUGCGUGCGCCUGAUGGGAGAUCCAGGGUUCGAACCCCCCUCUCGGCACAAUUUUUAGUUUCUUUUCCUAUACGGUAGCCAGCAAGGGGAGUUAUCUGUUUCCUGUCGCGUUCCUGUCACCAGUAGCGCAGCUAGUGCAGUGGUUUGUUGGUGACUGGUAAUCCAGUAGGUGCCUAGUUCGAAUCCCCCUCGGCGCAGGGUAUAUAUUUUGUUGUCAGGUUUUUUUUUUCCUGUUGAUCCUAUGCAAGAGGAGAAGGGACAUGUUUCCCUGUACUCCUCCCCCUUUCUGUCGAGUUGGUCAUGCUAGUGCAGUGGCUAGGUGGUGCCCCCUGUACCAGGGGAUGCAGGGUUCGAAUCCCAGGACCCUGUUAUUGCUGUAGCUUUUUUUUCCCUUAUUUUCUUGCUGCCUUUAGUUGUUCUACCUCUUCCUUGGGCUUGGGCAGCAAGCUGGAUUUAAGUUCAUUUUUUUUCCCUCCUGCUAGUGUAGUUAGUAACAGUUCCCUCUGUGUGUGAGCUGCACACUUGCAAGUGAUUAGAUGUGGUAAUGCUAGCAUUGUGAGCCUUGUGGAUUGCAUCUAGUGGCGUGGAGUACACUUGGUGGGAGUUGUGCAUGUGAUGUGUUUUCAUUGUGUGUGUUGUGCCUUAAGGAGAUAAGAUGCACUAGCUACUCUUGUGGAGCCCAUCUUUGGGAGUUUUAGGUGGUAUAAGAGAUCUUGCAGAUUUAAUUAUCUUGCCUUGUUAUAGUGGAGUGUGCACCAUCACAUGCCCAUGUGUGGGGGGUGUGUAUACUCUCUUGUUAUAUAAAGAUUUCUUGUGUGUGAGCUUGAUGCUAGUGCUUGAGAGGAAUUGUGUGUGUUGGAGUUGUUGAUGUGCAUGACACAAACAUGGGGUUCAAACCCCCAUGUCACUUUGUCAUUGUGCACAUGAAACCCUCCUAUGCAUUGUCAUCUUAAAAGUAUACCUUUUGGAUUUGCAUUUUCCAUUUUGUUGAAAGUUUGGGCUUUGUUUCCAUGGUAUAGAUGGAGCCCAAAGGCAUGGAUCUUGGUGUGUUAGUUGUAGGGGUUUGUGCUCAAUACCAUAGUGGUGUCAAACACCUCUUGGGAACUUGUGUGUGCAAACUAUGCCUAGACAAAGUGGGCAUGUGGCUGGAAAAAUUCCAGAAUUUUGAACUCUGAAAAUUUCACUAAGUCUGGAAUGCUGAAAACAUUUUCUUCCCCUGUAGAUAAGGUUGUGCAGGUCAGUAUGUUGAGAACUGGACUUAGUUCAGUGCUAGUGUUUUGAACCUGGUAUGUUUGUGCAGCUUCCUGUCAAUUUUCAAGUCAUUUGGAGUCCAGUAGCUUGUGUUUUGAUUGCUGUCAAAAGGCUUCAGAACAGAAACAGAAACUCAGGUGCAGAAAUUUUCACUAAGUCCCUGGGAACUGAUGGUUUUGGGAAAGUUUGUGGCCUUGUGUCUUCUAGAGUUUAAAUCCUUUUGCUGUGAUUCUUGCUGGAGAUGGUAGUGUUCUUGGUUGGCAACAUCCACAUAUAUUAUUUGUCAUGUUUGAAGACCUGUAGCUAUGUUGCAUGUUGCUCUCAAACAGCUAAGAUGCAGAAAUUGGCAGAUUGCGUAGUUUUGACAUUUUGUUCAAAGUUUGUGUUUAAUUGUUGUUGGGGUGUUCUACCUUGCUCCAUUUCAUUCAUGUUGGGUUAAUAUAUGUCUUGGCAACCUGGAAACACCAGAUUUGCGCCAAUUGUGUGUGUGGUGAUGAAUCUUUCACGUAGGGCUUCAUAUCGUGUUUCGUUGAUUCCCGUUGACCCGUAGCUCCGUUUGCAAAGUUCUUUAUAUGGUUUUGCACCGUUUCUACGAGAUGCAUAUGUUCAUAUCAUUCCCAUGCAUGUCCAAAUAGUUUAGUGCAAAGUUCUGUCCAGGAACUUGUUGUAGUUAUUCUUACUUGUGCUAGUGUUAGAAAUAGUGGUGCAUGCUCAACUUUCAUCUCAUGCAUCAUGUGAUUGUUGCAUUUUGUGGUGCUGCUGUUCAUUGGCUGUCAUUCUUGUGUUGGGUAGCACCGGGAGCGGAGACCGAUUACGUGGAGUCAGGAGAGUACGUGCAGGACGAUCCAGAACCAUUCCAAGCUGAGGAUAUCACAGG
rnacentral:lncRNA from 1 species